UACGAAGGGGGGCUAGCGUUGCUCGGAAUCACUGGGCGUAAAGGGUGCGUAGGCGGGUCUUUAAGUCAGGGGUGAAAUCCUGGAGCUCAACUCCAGAACUGCCUUUGAUACUGAAGAUCUUGAGUCCGGGAGAGGUGAGUGGAACUGCGAGUGUAGAGGUGAAAUUCGUAGAUAUUCGCAAGAACACCAGUGGCGAAGGCGGCUCACCUGGCCCGGUACUGACGCUGAGGCACGAAAGCGUGGGGAGCAAACAGG
rnacentral:rRNA from 1 species